AAAAACUGCAGGACAGAGGAAGAGAGAAGGAAAACCAUCAAAGGAAGAAAGGCCAUCGUAUUAGCUGGAGUGCUGGAGGUGUAAACUGCUACAUGCACUAAGUACAGUUUAAUGAUUGCAGUGAGCAUCUAGAGAAUCAUGGCUACAUAUGGAAAUUUGAAUAAAGUUUACAGGGAAGUGUGAUGUUAAUUAUCCUCAUCUCUGUAGAAGUCAAAAUGGGAGCCAUACAUUCUCUGGGUACAUUCCUUAGAUCACACAUUUCUUCUGAUUUUUCUCCCUUUAAGCUACGUUGCUUGUUAUUUAACAGAGAAAUGCAAUUUUAUCCCUCUGGUCAUUUCUGUUAAUCAGAGUACUGAAUUCUUUCCCUUCUAA